CACAUACCAACAGAAAAUGGGUGUGCUGACUUCACCCAAACUGGGGAGUGAAAGGAAACCAACACUUACCUAUGUAGAUGAGAUGUGUCUUCUGUGAGCUACUUAAACUAAGGCAGGCAGAGACUUUCAGAUAGAACUGGCACCAAAACAGAAGCCUGAGAUGUGGAGAUAGAUUAUAAAAAGGCCUUCAAAUACCACAGAUGGCAAUAGCUCAACACUUGGGAUAUCGAGCCAGAGGGUAAGUCAAAGAGUGCAGAGCUCCCAGGUCAUGGCUCCCCAGAUUUAGGCUGUUGAGGCUCAUCGGGAUGUGGCUUGGAUCUGAAGGUGAGGUUUGAACUGAGGUUUUGAGCUGACUUAUUGCUGAUCAGAACUGCUUCCUGAGGCAAAUGUCUUAUGCUGAGUAACCUCUGUCAGUUUUCCAGUGCAACUUUGAGACUGGAUUGGUGGCUGGAAGGAAAGUGAAGUAUUCAGCAGCAUGGAUACUGCCUGCUUCCAGCAGGAUGAGCUGCUGGCCUCGCUCCACAGGUUCCCUGGGGAUGAGAUGAGCUUUAACUGAAAGCUGCUUGCAACCACUGCUUCAGAGAGUCUGAACUGCUGCUCAGCCUGGAUGGAGAACUGGCCACAGAGGAAUACAAUCUGUGGCAGGUAAUUCUGGUUUAUGCCAUUUGGUGCUAUCACAUGGGAUUUGAAAAUGACAUGCCCCGGUGCAGCCACACGGAUUUUGCUGUCUGCUGUUCUGUGAAGCCUGUAAUAGCUUCAGGCUUGGACUGGCUGUGCUGCGUGUCUGCUCCAACAAGAAACUUCCAGUUAUUUUUCAGCCCAUUCCAGCUGGGAUGGAGGCAGGGCUGGAGAAAGUGCUGGCUGCGGGCAGGGUGAGCCCUCCAGGGAACGCCGACCCGUGAGCCUCUGUCUGUCAUGGUCCCCACGUGUCCGGCUCUGGGAAAAGCCUUCUGUGUAUCUUCAGACUCUGGUGUUGAUGCUGUUUUGGGCUGGUUUCCAUAAUUUGGGUUGGUUUAUAUUUAGCUGAGCUGCUACUUGCAUGAAUAUCAGGUUUUGGGGAUUGUUUAGUUUGUUUUUCCUUUCACUUGAAUUGCACUAGAUUUGCAAGGCUUAGGUUCUGAAUGGCCUCAAAGCCUGAGCAUCUACAACUGAAAAUUAAAACCUAAAAUGCAAAUAGCAAUGGUCACUGAGUGGGCAAUUCACAUUUCAUCUCAACAAACAGCUUUCCCAAACAGACACAUAACUGGUUCUACCUCCCCAUCCAAGAACCUGGACACUGCUGCACGUUUCACAAGGAGCUUUGCAUCUCAUUUCUUUCACUAAUGCAUUACUGAGUGACACCAGCCACUUUCCUUACCCUGGGGGUUUCUGUUGAAUGAAGGAAAUAUAAAAUGCCUGCUAGACUUUUGCUGAUUCCCAAGCCCUCCACCCUUAAGCACCAUUGGAGGACGUUUUCCCACAGUUUAAUACCAAGAUUUUCUAGCCCAUCAAAUUCAAACACGAAUGGCUCACAGUAGAUAAAACCCUACUGAGAAAUAUGAAUUGUCUCGGUGUGUGCAGCUAUUG